AAGUCGUAACAAGGUUUCCGUAGGUGAACCUGCGGAAGGAUCAUUAAUGAAAUAACUAUGGCGUUGGUUGUAGCUGGCUCCUAGGAGCAUGUGCACACCCGUCAUUCUUAUCUUUCCACCUGUGCACUUAAUGUAGGUCUGGAUAACUCUCGCUCAUACCGAGCGGAUGCAGGGAUUGCCGUGUUGAAAGACCGGCUCUCUUUGAAUUUCCAGGUCUAUGUACCUUUACAAACUCCAAUUGUAUGAUAAUGAAUGUAGUCAAUGGGCUUUCAAGCCUAUAAAACAAAAUACAACUUUCAGCAACGGAUCUCUUGGCUCUC
rnacentral:misc_RNA from 1 species